rnacentral:rRNA from 1 species
GACGAACGCUGGCGGCGUGCUUAACACAUGCAAGUCGAACGGAAAGGCCCUGCUUUUGUGGGGUGCUCGAGUGGCGAACGGGUGAGUAACACGUGAGUAACCUGCCCUUGACUUUGGGAUAACUUCAGGAAACUGGGGCUAAUACCGGAUAGGAGCUCCUGCUGCAUGGUGGGGGUUGGAAAGUUUCGGCGGUUGGGGAUGGAUUCGCGGCUUAUCAGCUUGUUGGUGGGGUAGUGGCUUACCAAGGCUUUGACGGGUAGCCGGCCUGAGAGGGUGACCGGCCACAUUGGGACUGAGGUACGGCCCAGACUCCUACGGGAGGCAGCAGUGGGGAAUAUUGCACAAUGGGCGGAAGCCUGAUGCAGCAACGCCGCGUGCGGGAUGACGGCCUUCGGGUUGUAAACCGCUUUCGCCUGUGACGAAGCGUGAGUGACGGUAAUGGGUAAAGAAGCACCGGCUAACUACGUG